CAAGAUAUGUCUCGUUGGUGACCAGCGGAGGGUCAUUACCGAGUUUACAACUCCCAAACCCCUGUGAACAUACCUUAUGUUGCCUCGGCGGAUCAGCCCGCGCCCCGUAAAAAGGGACGGCCCGCCGCAGGAACCCUAAACUCUGUUUUUAGUGGAACUUCUGAGUAUAAAAAACAAAUAAAUCAAAACUUUCAACAACGGAUCUCUUGGUUCUGGCAUCGAUGAAGAACGCAGCAAAAUGCGAUAAGUAAUGUGAAUUGCAGAAUUCAGUGAAUCAUCGAAUCUUUGAACGCACAUUGCGCCCGCCAGUAUUCUGGCGGGCAUGCCUGUUCGAGCGUCAUUUCAACCCUCAAGCCCAGCUUGGUGUUGGGAGCUGCAGUCCUGCUGCACUCCCCAAAUACAUUGGCGGUCACGUCGAGCUUCCAUAGCGUAGUAAUUUACACAUCGUUACUGGUAAUCGUCGCGGCCACGCCGUUAAACCCCAACUUCUGAAUGUUGACCUCGGAUCAGGUAGGAAUACCCGCUGAACUUAAGCAUAUCAAA
rnacentral:rRNA from 1 species